AUGGCCAAGCUGUUGACACUGAACUUCCUCUACUUCUUUCUGCUGCCCCGGUCUCUUUACUCAGGAUGUACCCCGCUCUUGCAGAUCAUGUUGGAUAUCUUGGUUAUGUGCCCAAACUUGUGUCUGCAGUAGCCCAUGGAGCAAGCAGAGAAACAAUAGCUUCAGAAACCUAUGUAUCUGAGGAUGGUUCGUCGCAACAAAAUUCACAAGCUCCUCCGGAGCGAGUUCGCCUUAAUAGUUUACGUGUUCUACAUUAGCUUGCAGGUAGUUCCACUUCUGAUGAAAGCGAUUGGUUGGCAAGGUGGAAGCAUCUUAGCUCUUGAAACCUUAAAGCGUGUUGUAGUUGCAGGGAAUCGAGCAAGAGAUGCACUUGUUGCACAGGGUCUCAAGGUUGGUCUUGUGGAAGUUCUUCUUGGCCUUCUUGACUGGCGAGCUGGGGGAAGAAAUGGGCUUUGUUCACAGAUGAACUGGAAUGAGUCAGAAGCAGCAAUUGGCCGGGUUCUUCAAAUUGAGAUGGUCUAGAUGGUUUGAUUUCCAUACAGGCAACGAAGAAAAUUACACCGCCAAACUUGCGAAAGACUUUCAGGCAUAUUUGAACGUCUGCUUAGAGGGAGACAGCGAGUAUUCCUUUUGUUCCCCAAGCCAUCUUCCUUCUAGCUACUCAGCAGGCGAUGCAGAUAUAAGAGUCCGAUACAGUGAGCUCGUCUUGUGAAUCUAGGAGGUACACCAAUUAAGGAAUUUUAACGUUUGUGGUAAAUGUAAUUUGAAAAUGACAAACAUAUAAUAAACCAUCUUUUCAUCAACAGGCCAUUGUAAAUUUGGUUUAGCAUGAAAUUGAAAUGAGAUUCACUAUUUGCGGACUAUACAUAGUGUUUGUAACUUUGUAAAAGUACUUGCAUUUGUGGUUUCUCAUCCAACAUAUGUUAUGGUACC